CACACCCCCAACAGAGAAUGCCUAGAAUUAUUCUACUAAGGCUUGGAGGGAGGAAGCAAACAAUCUAAGCUAAAUCGGAGAAUAAGCUCUAAAAAAUGCCCGUGAGACUAUUGCUAAUAGAGUCGAAGUCAAGGCUCAUCCAAGGAUAAGCCAAGAUCGAACCUAAGCUAGAAAUAGGAUAAUUUGCAAAGAUAAAGACCUAGAGACCC
rnacentral:lncRNA from 1 species